UACGUAGGGGGCGAGCGUUAUCCGGAUUUAUUGGGCGUAAAGCGUGUGUAGGCGGUUUAUUAAGUAUAAGAUUAAAGCCCGAGGCUCAACCUCGGUUCGUCUUAUAAACUGGUAGACUUGGGUAUGGUAGAGGCAAGUGGAAUUUCUAGUGUAGCGGUUAAAUGCGUAGAUAUUAGAAGGAACACCAGUGGCGAAGGCGGCUUGCUGGGCCAUAACUGACGCUGAUGCACGAAAGCGUGGGGAGCAAAUAG
rnacentral:rRNA from 1 species